UGGCUCAGUUGGUAGAGCAUAGCGCUUGCAACGCCAGGGUUGUGGAUUCGAUUCCCAC
rnacentral:tRNA from 1 species